CAUUUGCGAAAUGGGUUGAAGUCCACAAAGCGGGCUGGGAAAUUCCCCACGAAGCCUUGAGAUGUGGCCCCCUCCACUCCAUGAGGAGUACCAGGCUGCUCUCCCUCGAUGUGUCCUCAGUGCCCAGCCCGGCCAGGCCCGAGGUUAGAUCGCGUGGAUACGGCGACAGUCCCCGCCCUCGAGGAGGUCGCUGUUUUUACAUCCAGGCUUUUAACGCUCCACGGGGUACACAUGGCUCCUGUAUGAGAAGACGUAUGGGCACACCCCUCAAGGAAGAGGACCGGUCCAACCAGCCCAUCCACCCGGGGCCGAGCCCAGGGCCUGGCAGGAAGGUCAGGGUCUCGUGUCUCCUGGGAUUUUGUUCUGAGGUCCCUGCUCUGUUGCGAUCGGUUCCGUUUGACUGUUCCACAGGCAGGGCUUGCCGACGGCGGCUCUGAAACCUGCGGAGACAAGCGGCGGUGCCGCAGCCCAUCCCCGUCCCUCCCUCCUUCUUGGUUUUCUUGGCUGUUCUGGAGCAUGGAUUCUUGCACAAGGAUUUGAAGAUGACUUUACUCUGGAGCCGGUCUGCCUGAGCUUACAUGCUGCCUCCAUGGCUCAACCUGGGCAACUCACUGCCCACUUCAUGCCUCGGUCUCCCCAUCUAUAACAAUAACUACUGAAUCGGGCUUGGGGGGUUGAGUGAGAUCCUGUGUAUUGGGGUAGUUGGAACAGUGCCCAGCGUGUGGAAAUUGCUCAAUAGAUGGUAGCUACUUUAUUAUCAAC
rnacentral:lncRNA from 1 species